AUUGAACGCUGGCGGCAUGCCUUACACAUGCAAGUCGAACGGCAGCACGGGAGCAAUCCUGGUGGCGAGUGGCGAACGGGUGAGUAAUAUAUCGGAACGUGCCCAGUCGUGGGGGAUAACGUAGCGAAAGCUACGCUAAUACCGCAUACGAUCUAUGGAUGAAAGCGGGGGAUCGCAAGACCUCGCGCGAUUGGAGCGGCCGAUAUCAGAUUAGGUAGUUGGUGAGGUAAAGGCUCACCAAGCCGACGAUCUGUAGCUGGUCUGAGAGGACGACCAGGCACACUGAGACUGAGACACGGCCCAGACUCCUACGGGAGGCAGCAGUGGGGAAUUUUGGACAAUGGGCGCAAGCCUGAUCCAGCAAUGCUGCGUGCAGGAUGAAGGCCUUCGGGUUGUAAACUGCUUUUGUACGGAACGAAACGGCGAGCUCUAAUACAGUUUGCUAAUGACGGUACCGUAGGAAUAAGCACCGGCUAACUACGUGCCAGCCGCCGCCGUAA
rnacentral:rRNA from 1 species